AAUUCGUGGUGCAAGCAUUUUUUAAUCAACAUUUUGAAUCGUUCCCAUGCCUCACAGAAACUUUCUCUCUCCAUCUGCCUAAAAACAAUAAUCUCUCUUCUUAGUU
rfam:Gossypium hirsutum cultivar TM-1 chromosome 9, whole genome shotgun sequence